rnacentral:rRNA from 1 species
ACGGGAGGCAGCAGUGAGGAAUAUUGGUCAAUGGGCGGAAGCCUGAACCAGCCAAGUCGCGUGAAGGAUGAAGGUUCUAUGGAUUGUAAACUUCUUUUGUUCGAGGGUAAAGUGAGGGUCGUGACCCUUAUUGCAAGUAUCGAACGAAUAAGCAUCGGCUAACUCCGUGCCAGCAGCCGCGGUAAUACGGAGGAUGCGAGCGUUAUCCGGAUUUAUUGGGUUUAAAGGGAGCGUAGGCGGCCUUUUAAGUCAGCGGUCAAAUGUCAGCGCCCAACGCUGGCCUGCCGUUGAUACUGAUGGGCUUGAAUACACACAAGGAAGGUGGAAUUCGUCGUGUAGCGGUGAAAUGCUUAGAUAUGACGAAGAACUCCGAUUGCGAAGGCAGCCUUCUGGAGUGCGAUUGACGCUGAGGCUCGAAAGCGCGGGUAUCAAACAGGAUUAGAUACCCUGGUA